ensembl:lncRNA
CAGGGAGUACCGGUACAGAGUCAAUGUGGAGGCUAUAUACAGGGAGUAAAGGUACAGAGUCAAUGUGGAGGCUAUAUACAGGGAGUAAAGGUACAGAGUCAAUGUGGAGGCUAUAUACAGGGAGUAAAGGUACAGAGUCAAUGUGGAGGCUAUAUACAGGGAGUAAAGGUACAGAGUCAAUGUGGAGGCUAUAUACCGGGAGUAAAGGUACAGAGUCAAUGUGGAGGCUAUAUACAGGGAGUACCGGUACAGAGUCAAUGUGGAGGCUAUAUACAGGGAGUACCGGUACAGAGUCAAUGUGGAGGCUAUAUACAGGGAGUAAAGGUACAGAGUCAAUGUGGAGGCUAUAUACAGGGAGUAAAGGUACAGAGUCAAUGUGGAGGCUAUAUACAGGGAGUAAAGGUACAGAGUCAAUGUGGAGGCUAUAUACAGGGGGUACCGGUACAGAGUCAAUGUGGAG